rnacentral:rRNA from 1 species
AACCCGACUACAUGAAGCUGGAAUCGCUAGUAAUCGCGGAUCAGAAUGCCGCGGUGAAUACGUUCCCGGGUCUUGUACACACCGCCCGUCACACCAUGGGAGUCGGAAAUGCCCGAAGUCUGUGACCUAACCGCAAGGGAGGAGCAGCCGAAGGCAGGUCGGAUGACUGGGGUGAAGUCGUAACAAGGUAUC